rnacentral:snoRNA from 1 species
GUGGGGAUGGUCUCCCUUUCUGACUCGUGAUGUGGCCUACGUGCCGA